rnacentral:rRNA from 1 species
AGCGAACGCUGGCGGCAGGCCUAACACAUGCAAGUCGAACGCCCCUUCGGGGGAGUGGCGGACGGGUGAGUAACGCGUGGGAACGUGCCCUUUGGUACGGAACAACUGAGGGAAACUUCAGCUAAUACCGUAUGUGCCCCCAUUCUUAGCGGGAUGGGCGGGAAAGAUUUAUCGCCAUUGGAGCGGCCCGCGUUGGAUUAGGUAGUUGGUGGGGUAAAGGCCUACCAAGCCUACGAUCCAUAGCUGGUCUGAGAGGAUGAUCAGCCACACUGGGACUGAGACACGGCCCAGACUCCUACGGGAGGCAGCAGUGGGGAAUCUUGCGCAAUGGGCGAAAGCCUGACGCAGCCAUGCCGCGUGAAUGAUGAAGGUCUUAGGAUUGUAAAAUUCUUUCACCGGGGAAGAUAAUGACGGUACCCGGAGAAGAAGCCCCGGCUAACUUCGUGCCAGCCGCCGCAGUAAAAC